UACAGAGGUCCAAGCCGUUGUUCGGAUUCAUUGGGCGUAAAGGGUGUGAUAGGUGGCGCCGUAAGUCGGGUGAUUGAAUCUCGGGCUUAACCGAACUGCAUUCGAUACUGCGUGCUUGAGGACUGGAUGAGGAGACGUGGAAUUCAUGGUGUAGCAGUGAAAUGCGUAGAGAUCAAUGAGGAAGACCAGUGGACGAAGCGGGUC
rnacentral:rRNA from 1 species